UCCUCUGUCUGUGGGAUUCUCCAGGCAAGAAUAUUGAAUUGAGUAGCCAUUCGCUCCUCCAGGGGAUCUUCCUGACCCAGGGAUCAAAACUGCAUCUCAUAUCUCCUGCAUUGGCAGGCGGGUUCUUUACCACUAGCACCAACUGGGAAGACCCACGUGGCAUCUAAAAUACAGAUUCCCAGGCUGGGCCCAGGCAAGGCUAUCGGUCAUCAGGUUUGGAAACCACAAGAGAAGCGAAGAGGGUAUUUGAUUCGGGCCCAUGAGGCCAAGAUGAUUCCCGGUUCAGCCUGCUUUAGCCUUGACCUGCCAUGUGAACUUGGGCGAUUCCAAUCGCCAGCUCCAUCUCAGGUUUUCUCCUCCACACAGUGGGAAUCAGCUUUGGCUCUGCCAGCCCAUCAGGUGAGAAAAUGAGAUGUAAACUUUUAUAAGCCAUCCAGCACUGAACAAAUACAAGCUGCUGUUAUUAUGAUGUCAUUUCCCACAUGCUGUGCUGAGCACGGAGUCACUCCCACGCCAGCCUUGGGCCAGCCCUGCCCCUCUGCCGGCCCUGGAUUCCCAGCCUCCUCUGCAGCUGGAGUCCUCCCAGCUUCUCUUGCAUUUAUCCCAGCCCUGGGGCCCUCCCUGAGCAAUCAGUGGACUGGUAACCGCAGUCGCUGACUUACAUGUAUAUAUCAGCGUGUCUCAUUCUCCCAGCAGCCCUAUUUUUCAGACGAGGAAACUGAGGCUUAGAGAAGAUAAGAAAUUGUCCAAAGUCAGUGCGAACAAGUGGUGAGGGGGGACCUCAGCCUCGGGUCUGUCUGGGGGCUUCUGUGCCAAGUUCCAUGAGCAUUUACCCUCCACCUUCAGGAAUUUUGCCAGAUCUACUCCCUAUCCAGUCUGUUAUCCACAGCAGUGCAUCUAGCAGUGUGGAUGGCUGCAGACAUGGCUGGGGUCCCAGGAACCGUCAAAGUCAUCCAUUCACACGGGGACUUGUUUCCACAAUCAGGUCCCUCUCCCUUAUAAAUUCUUCUCUGUCCAACAACCAGGCAGAACUUCAUGGCGGACCUGAUCUACCAUCUGGGUGGUAAGUGUGUGAUUAGCUAAUGAAAUCUAAUGAAUUAUGUGUCCACAAACGUGGUGGAAAAAAUCCGAUGCCUAAGAUGCAUGCCCUGAGCCCAGCGUUUGUACCAGGAGAGAUUGAUGGUUACAGCGAGCGCUCGGAAUUCAGAGCUGAGUCUUUGUUUAAUAUGCAUCUUUCUUCUCCAGGCAUCAAAGAGAUUAAUUUGUUAGAGUAAACAGACUUCAAAACAGGAUUUGGUCUCUGAGAAUCUGUACCUGAUUUGGCGUUCCUGGCUCAGACUGCCCCAAGCCUUCAUCAUUUUG
rnacentral:lncRNA from 1 species